AAGGAUAGGAAGAACUGACGGAUUCUGUGGAAUUGACCACGUGAACUUCCUAUUUCGAAAACAAGCCGACCGUCUGGGCAGGGAAA
rnacentral:ncRNA from 10 species